AUUGAACGCUGGCGGCAGGCCUAACACAUGCAAGUCGAACGAGUGGCGGACGGGUGAGUAAUGUCUGGGAAACUGCCUGAUGGAGGGGGACAACUACUGGAAACGGUAGCUAAUACCGCCUACCAUCAGCUGUGCCCAGGUGGGAUUGGCUUGUUGGGGGGGAAACGGCUAACAAAGGCCACGAUCCGUAGCGGGUCUGAGAGGAUGACCAGCAACACUGGAACUGAGACACGGUCCAGACUCCUACGGGAGGCAGCAGUGGGGAAUAUUGCACAAUGGGCGAAAGCCUGAUGCAGCCAUGCCGCGUGUAUGAAGAAGGCCUUCGGGUUGUAAAGUACUUUCAGCGGGGAGGCGUUACCCGCAGAAGAAGCACCGGCUAACUCCGUGCCAGCCGCCGCGGUAAUUC
rnacentral:rRNA from 1 species